AGAAGAAGAAGAAGGAAGAAGAAAGAAGAAGAAGAAGAAGAAAGAAGAAGAAGAAGAAGAAGAAGUUGCAGAAAAAGGAGGAAGAAGAAGAAGAAGGAGGUUAAUUUUGUCAAUUCACGUGUCCCAAACGGCUAAUUUGGACGGAAGGACUACGAAGUUGGACAGAAAAGAAAGUGAGGGACUUAAGUGUUGGGUCGCCAAAAUAGAGGGACAGAAGUGUUAAUUAUGUUAAACCUCAGGGACUACAAAGUAAUUUUCCC
rnacentral:lncRNA from 1 species